UACGGAGGGAGCUAGCGUUAUUCGGAAUUACUGGGCGUAAAGCGCACGUAGGCGGCUUUGUAAGUUAGAGGUGAAAGCCUGGAGCUCAACUCCAGAAUUGCCUUUAAGACUGCAUCGCUUGAAUCCAAGAGAGGUGAGUGGAAUUCCGAGUGUAGAGGUGAAAUUCGUAGAUAUUCGGAAGAACACCAGUGGCGAAGGCGGCUCACUGGCUUGGUAUUGACACUGAGGAGCGAAAGCGUGGGGAGCAAACAGG
rnacentral:rRNA from 1 species